AGUGAACGCUGGCGGUAGGCCUAACACAUGCAAGUCGAACGGCAGCACAGUAAGAGCUUGCUCUUACGGGUGGCGAGUGGCGGACGGGUGAGGAAUACAUCGGAAUCUACUUUUUCGUGGGGGAUAACGUAGGGAAACUUACGCUAAUACCGCAUACGACCUACGGGUGAAAGCAGGGGAUCUUCGGACCUUGCGCGAUUGAAUGAGCCGAUGUCGGAUUAGCUAGUUGGCGGGGUAAAGGCCCACCAAGGCGACGAUCCGUAGCUGGUCUGAGAGGAUGGUCAGCCACACUGGAACUGAGACAGGGUCCAGACGCCUGAGGGAGGCAGCAGUGGGGAAUAUUGGACAGUGGGCGCAAACCUGAUCCAACCAUACCGCGUGGGUGAAGAAGGCCUUCGGGUUGUAAAGCCCUUUUGUUGGGAAAGAAAAGCAGCAGGUUAAUACCCCGCUGUUCUGACGGUACCCAAAGAAUAAGCACCGGCUAACUUCGUG
rnacentral:rRNA from 1 species